CGGAGCCAUUUAAGGCAGUGGCACUGGCAGCUAAUCCUCAAGAUAUUACACAAUUCUUACUUCUUCUCAAUAAGAGGAUUUUAUCAAUGCCCAAGAAUUCUCUCCCAAACAACAUAAACCCUUCCUCUCUAUCCACCGGAGGAGGAAAAACAAACAAACAGCAGGUCUAGAUACUACAGCUGCUGAAAGUUGGAGAGGGAACAACGGUAGGAGGUGAUAAUUCUGACUAGAACUACAGAAUAAAUCUGGCAGUUAAAAUAAAGGAACGGUUGUGCUCGUGGUUACUGGAGGGAGCUUCAACUUGUGUCUGCUGGGGAGGAUUGUGGAGGGCCAGGCCCAGGAACAGAGCCAGGAGGGGGGCUACCUGCAGACGGACAAAAUGAACCUAUCCCAGCUCCAGAGGAACCAGACAAGGGUUCAACUCUCCACUAUCCUCCAUGCUGUGCACUGUGAAGAGUGGACUGGGGGAUCGCAGGAGCUCUAUGACAGGGUGCAAAGCUUGGAAAAGAGACCCGUAAACCGAGAAUUGGAACCACACACCCAUUCCACUGAAUAGUAGGCUAGUGAUUGCUUUGCGAUGCUUGCAGUUAGCCACUGAUUCCUUCUAAACCACUCAUUGUUGAAUUUGAGAAUUCCAACUUGUUGUGUAAUGUUUAUGUCCAAUGGCUGAUGAGCACCGAUACGUAUUAUCUAUUAUUUCUCUUCAUUAUUUCUCUUCAUAUCACAAGGAUUAAAAAGGAUUUGCCAGUAGAUUGUCAACUUGAUUCUUGAUGAUGACUGUAGCUAAGAUUUUGAAAAUAUGACGUUGACAUGAUCAAUAACUCUAUGGCAGCACCCAAGGGACUUAAGUUUUUGAGCUCUACCCUUAGAUUUGGCAGUGAUGUAGUGUUCCUAUGAAUGACGGAACACUGAGACAAUCACGGCACAACUAAAGAACAUUACCAACCCCUACACUCUGUAUUUUCCGCUGGCUACCCCAGUACCACAGAAAGUACUGAGCUAGGCUGAAACACCUGCAUUUAGGAGCUGCCUUACUCAAGAAAGCAAAAAAGAGAUCAUGUUUUUAUGGAGGCUUUAUUAACUCAAUGAUUUUUAAUAUAUAUUUUUUUACAUUGUUUGCAAACUGAUAUGUGACACGUAUUAAUGACAAAAUAACAUGCAAAACAGGCAAAACAAUUUAUUUUAUUUUGGGCGGGGGGAUUGAUAAAAAAAAUUGGGGCUCAAAACAGGCUCUGCCCCACCUGCCCUGAAUGAUGGGUCGCCACUGGAUUAUUUAUAUGCCCAUUUUUGCCAAUGAUGACUAGCUGUGAUGACAUUUGUUAUCAAGUCUGCAUAUGGGUGCAGAGCACGCACAUUUCACUCUGCAAAUUGGAGUGAAAAUAGGCUUCCAUAAAGUUGUUGAGCAAUCUUGAACAGAUUGCCAGGAUAUGGAUUUCAUCUGACUAAUUUCUACUUGGGCUGUGAACCGUCAAACCUGAAGCUGGUGUGUUGUUGUAAGUAGCUACAUUUUGUUUGCUGCUAGCUAGCUAGCUACAUGUCAUUAUUUGAAAGGCUACGUUGCUAUGAUACAAGGCUAUGGAACGCCUUUUGGGUCUUUUACAUGCCAAAACGAUACACUUCAAAUAACACUCUGAUGCGUCAAAUAACACAAUUCUAUUAUAGAAUGUUAUGUGUGAUGAAUUUGCACGUGCAAGCCAAGUUCCACCACUACUAUCAGUAGCACUGUCAAAGCUGUACAAAAAGUCUG